rnacentral:rRNA from 1 species
UACAGAGACUGCGAGCGUUAUUCGGAUUUACUGGGCGUAAAGGGCGCGUAGGCGGCCAAGUGUGUGAGGCGUGAAAGCCCGGGGCUUAACCCCGGAAUUGCACCUCAAACUACAUGGCUAGAGCAUUGGAGAGGGUAGCAGAAUUCACGGUGUAGCAGUGAAAUGCGUAGAUAUCGUGAGGAAUACCAGAGGCGAAGGCGGCUACCUGGACAAUUGCUGACGCUCAGGCACGAAAGCGUGGGGAGCAAAAGGG